UGUCUUUUUGAAAAUAAUAUAAAGUCUAAUCUGCCCACUGAUUUAAUAAUUGAAGGGCUGCAGUAUAUUGACUGUACAAAGGUAGCAUAAUCAUUAGUCAUUUAAUUGAUGACUUGUAUGAAGGAUUGGAUGAAAUAUAGACUGUCUCUUAGUUAAAUAUAGAAUUUAAUUUUUUAAUUAAAAAGUUAAAAUAAUUUAAAAAGACGAGAAGACCCUAUAGAGUUUUAUAAAUAAAUUAAUUGAGAUUAUUUAUUAAAUAAAAUUAAAAUUAAGUUGUUUAUUAUAUUGGGGUGAUAGAAAAAUGUAAUUAACUUUUUUUAUAUGUGAAAACAUUUAUAAGUGAUUAUAUGAUCCAAUAUUAUUGAUUAUAAGAAAAAAUUACCUUAGGGAUAACAGCGUAAUUUUUUUUUUUAGUUCAUAUAAGAAAAAGAGUUUGCGACCUCGAUGUUGGAUUAAGAUAAAAUUUAAAUGCAGAAG
rnacentral:rRNA from 1 species